CUCAAACCCAUAAAGGACCCAGUGAUUGAACUCUAUUGCCUAUUGUGAAAAACUUUUUGUAGGUGAAGAACCUGAAGGACCUGAGGCUGUGCCAGUACAUGCUGGAGAAGUACUUGACUGGACUCGGGAGUAGCGGCCUAGGCAUUGGCCCACAGAAGUGCUGUUCUGCUUCCUUGGAUGCCAGUCACAACAACUCGAUCUUCUCUGUCCAACGGAGUUGUCUUGGUUGUAGAUUUGGGGAUCCUCAAUCUCUCAGCUUAGUUCUCUAACGUUAAGGCAUAUUGAAUCUUAGUAUCCUACUUUAUUUGCCACUGUUCUUUCUAACUUUAUUUUGCCAGAACAUUCUAUGGGUAAGACAUUCCAUCUGUAACACUUUAUGAUGGGUAAGCCCACAUGAGGAUACCCAGAACCCAUACACAAUGUGCUCUUAUUUACCUGUGAGAAGUCCAAACCAGUAACCCUGAUCUUGAAUCAGUGCUGAGAAGGACCUUAAAACUCAGAACAUGACAUGUCCCAGUGUGGUUCUUGAGCCUGAGAGUUCUCAGCACCACUGUUCAACCCUCUUGUUUAUUCAGGGUUGGGACACUUUUCAUUCCUUUCUUGUUAGAGUCAACAAUGACUUCUGUAGAAGUUGGGAAUCUAGAAAGCAAAGGGUGGGGUUUUCUUGCAUGACCUUGACCCAUGUUGGGUUUUCUGUCUUCCAUCUCCACUUUUAACAUUAAAUAUACUACAUCUCUCCAAAGGUUAUGCCUAUUCUAGAGUGCUGCACUCAGUGACGAAGUUGGAGCAAGUGUCAAAAGAGUGAAGACCAAGCUCUGACUAUUACAGAGAGUUUGAGAUAGACAACUGAUACUUGGAAAAACACUUGACUUCUCAGUGGGACCUCCAUCUACUAUAAAUAACCAACAACCUGUUCAAGGAUCAAUGUGCUUCUGACCUGAGGAAAACAAGGCAUCACUAACAAAUCUAUACAGUCUUACCUCCCAGAAGAUGAGUGAAAGUGUUACAGUUAGGAUGACUGUUGACAUGAGGCACUCAGAGGUUCUCCACAAAUCUGAAGGACAAGAUUGAGAUUGCCAUUCAUAUGGUCUUUCCAUAGUCUUCCCUUAGAAUCAGAAUUGAAAAUCACUGCGGACCUCAUCUAUUAGUUGCAGCUUCUUGAUACUGAAGAGAUUGUUCUACCUGAUGAGCUCAGGACUAGAAGAUGGACAGCAUCCAAGAAGCCUGGCCCAUCUAAGGCCAAGUCACAUCUUCAUGAAAUAUUGAAAAGCAUUUGUGCAUAGGAGAAAAAUGUAAUCGCCAAGAUCUCAUCAGGCAUUCUAGCCUACUGAGAGUCUGAUAGACUCAGGUCAGAGGUUACCUCUGAUUCCUAGAAGUGGAAGAAGGUACCAUUCCACAGAAGAAGCCUGUUGCUGAUGCUGUUGCAACCAGGACUAUGAUUGUGAAACUUGUGUCUCUGUGGAUAUCAGGUUCAGGAGUCUUGUGCCCAGGUAUCUACAUUCCUCCUCUCAUACUUCAUUGGAUAGAACUUUACAAGCCCUAUAAUUGGGAGUGUCAUGUGCAGAUGGUAUUACACUUGACACAUAGUAUAAAAAAAGAUUUGUACCCAUUUAAGGGGCUGGAAAUAGGCUGGACCCAUAGUUGUACUCUGUGGCUAUUGACCCUUUUCAAACUUGUUUGACUAGGAACAAAGCUGAGAACCUGAUAUUUCCAAGAUUCAUCCUUACAAAAUUCAGAAACCCAUAGCUCAAAACAGUACAGAUACCACUCAGAAAUGAAUCCAAGAACAAGAUGUCUGACACGAGAAUUUUACAGAUUAAUUUGUAGGUCCAGGACUCAGCAACACUAAACCUACAGAGAAUCAUUCAGGGAUUCCACUGUUAGAAUUCAGGAGCUGCCAUUGACAGAAAUGACCCACGGGAGACUCUUAUUGCCAUAUCAUUGCCUCUGUGACCCACAGUGCUGUGACUGCCAUGCUCUCUGUCAAACUCCAUAGGAGGUCACCAUUAGUAGAAUACUAGUGCAGGGCAGCAGAGCAGUACAGUGGCCCUAGGCUGGUGUUGUGGGUGGUUCCAGGAGAUACUGACAUCACACCACCCUCUACAUCUAGAAUGAAAGGAAGAGGAACACGGGAGGGAGUGUGUGAUUGUAUUCAUGGCCCAAAGCUGCCUAGGUGUCAGCUACCAGUCUGGAAGAGCCCAUCUGCCUCUGUAUGGAGGAUUCAGGUCAGGAAUGUGACCGGGAACACAGGAUUCAGUGCUCGCAAGAGGAAAGUCCUUUACGUGACAUCUUGAACUAUGACACAACAAAGAUGGGAUAGCUUGGCCUUAUUGGGACUGGCACAUAUUGGGGCUGGCAUAGAGGGAUUCUCUAGAAUGUACAGGAUUGUUUGAGUACACAGGAGGGUUGACAAGUCAGCAGAAGAGUAGGACACACACUGAGGUCAAGUGCCAGGUAGCAUGAGCUAUGUAGCCACACAGCUGGACAGAUGGGCUUUCUUGCUCUAACUGAAGCAGAACCAAAGCAGGACCUGCCUGAGCCUCCAUCUGUACCUUGGUUCCAGUCGUUUCUCUCUCUUGCAAAUCACAAGCAUUAUGAAGCACUACUCUUGGCUGCCAGCAUCACAUGGGCUUUGUUCAUGUUACAGACAGGACAUACAAUAAUCAGUUUUCCUCCUACCUGUAACCAUCCAGAAGCUUAAGGUAGAGCAUGGUCACCUGAAAAGAGGGCUGGAAAUUCAAAAGGCAUACGGUGAGAGAAACAUGGAGCCAAGACAGUGUACAACCAUUCUGGAAAUCAGUCUGCAGGUUCCUCAGAAAAUUGGACAUUGCACUACCUGAGGACCCAGAUAUACUUCUCUUGGGCAUAUACCCAAAAGAUGCUCCAACAUACAACAAAGACACAUGCUCCACUAUGUUCACACCAGCCUUAUUUAUAAUAGCCAGAAACUGGAAAGAUCUCAGAUGCCUUUCAACAGAGGAAUGGAUACAGAAAAUGUAGUACAUCUACACAAUGGAAUACUACGCAGCUAUCAAAAACAAUGACUUUAUGAAAUUCAUAGGCAAAUGGAUGAAAGUAGAAAAUAUCAUCCUAAGUGAGAUAACCCAAUCACAGAGAAACACACAUGGUAUGCACUCAUUGAUAAGUAGAUAUUAGCCCAAAUGCUCAAAUUACCCAAGAUGCACAGAACACAUGAAACUCAAGAAGGAUGACCAAAAUGCAGAUACUUCACUCCUUCUUUAAAAGGAGAAUAAGAAUACCCAUAGGAGGGGAUAAGGAGGCAAUGUUUAGAACAGAGACUGAAGGAAUGCCCAUUCAGAGCCUGCCCCAUAUGUGGCCCAUACGUAUACAGCCACCAAACUAGAUAAGAUGGAUGAAGCAAAGAAGUGCAGGCCAACAGGAACUGGAUGUAGAUCUCUCCUGAGAGACACGGCCAGAAUACAGCAAAUACAUAGGCGAAUGCCAUCAUUAAAUCACUGAACUGAGAAUGGGACCCUGGUUGAAGGAAUCAGAGAAAGAACUGAAAGAGCUGAAGGUGCUUUAGACCCCAUAUGAACAACAAGGCCAACCAACCAGAGCUUCCAAGGACUAAGCCACUACCCAAAGACUAUACAUGGACUGACCCUGGGCUCCAACCUCAUAGGUAGCAAUGAAUAGCCUAGUCGGGGCACUAGUGGAAGGGGAAGUCCAUGGUCCUGUCAAGACUGGAUCCCUAGUGAAUGGGAUUUUUGUGGGGAG
ensembl:lncRNA